AAUCCUAAAUAAAUAUUAAUCAUAUUUUAAAUAUUAAACAAAGUCUUAACAAUCCUAUAGUAGAUAUAAACCUCAACAACUAAUGAUUGAGCCAUUGAUAUCAACUAAAAAUUUGCAUACUUUUUAAUAUCUUAUUUAGAAACAAAUAUAAGAAAGAUAAAAUUGAUCGCACUUACCAAUUGAGAGAAAUCAAGAUAAACUAAUCAUGUGUUGGGUGGCCUCCUACUCCAAUCUAAAUAUUGAACUUCCAAUGCCAAUAUUUCCUUCUUAAAUUGUUGAAUUGCUCUUAAAUUUAAUCUAAAUAUUUAAAAUUAAAUCUAAUAUUCAUAUUAAAAAAAUUCACUUUCAUCCAAUUAACAGAUUCCUAAAGACCUUAAAAACACUUACUAAUCUUCAAACUCCAAUUUUUGAAACUUCAAUCCACAAAAACCUACAUACUUCAAUCUAAUUAUUUGAUUGAUUUCAAAAUUUGCAUACACAUUUAUAACUAGCACAUCAAUAUAUUUUCCAAAUUUCACUCAUAUAUACACCACAAAAUUUAAAAAACUCUUAUUUUUAUAAAUAUAUUUUUAUUUCUCAAAUCGUCAUCCUACCAAGAAUAUUAUUAAUUUUUAAAAUCCUUCAAAAUCUCAAU
rnacentral:lncRNA from 1 species